ensembl:misc_RNA 7SK 7SK RNA
GGAUAUGAGGAAACUCUGACUGUAACAUCUGUCACCCUGUUGAUUGCCUGGGUUGAUUCAGCUGAUCUGGCUGGUUAGGCAGAUGUUCCCUUCUUCCCUCACUGUUCCAUGUAUGUCCCUUCUGAAGCUGCACAGUUCCAUGAGCCUCAAUCCCAAAGUUGGAUGCUCAUUCGAAGAGGAUUAACUUCCCUGAGCAGAGUCUGACCAGUCCUGGGUAGUGGGUACAUGAGUAACUGCAUUCCCCUGCUAGAACCUUCAAACAAGCUUUUAGAUAGAUGAUUCAUUGGUGAUAGAUAGAUAGAUAGAUAGACAGAUAGAUAUGAAAAGAGGAAAAAUUACUACAGCACUAAAAUUUUC